UUCUAUACUCCGCUCGAAGAUCUUUGGGUCCCUACCGUCAGACGUCCCGUCAUUUUCUGACUGUCACCACCACUUUUUGUGUACUGGUACCGUCAGUAUGGAGACUACCGUGACUGCCAUGGUCCUUCACCAGCUAAUGGAGUUGGAAGAAGAGGAAACCCUCCGCAGACGAGCCCACCAGAGACGUCUCAAGAUGCUAGCUGCGUAUUGGCAUCUGGCAAAUAUCGAGUUUAUGCCAAGAUGAACAGGGCCGUGCCUAUCCUCAGGCUCUUCUUUGACGAGGAGGAAGAAACCAGGCCAGACUUUAGGCUGAGCAGGGCCUCCAUCACAGGUCUGCUGGUGUUGCUGCAGCAGGAGCGGCAUCAUGGAUGGGGUUUAAUAGGCAUCACUCCAGUGG